GCUGGGCAUGGUGGUGCAUGCCUGUAAUCCAUGCCUGUAGCUACUCGGGAGGCUGAGGCAGGAGGAUUGCUUGAGCCCAGGAGGUCAAGGCUGCAGUGAGCCAUGAUUGCAGUACUGCACUCCAGCCUGGGUGACAGAGCAAGACCCUGUCUCAA
rnacentral:SRP_RNA from 2 species